UACGUAGGGGGCAAGCGUUGUCCGGAGUUACUGGGCGUAAAGCGCACGUAGGCGGCUUUGUAAGUUAGAGGUGAAAGCCCAGGGCUUAACCCUGGAAUUGCCUUUAAGACUGCAUCGCUAGAAUCGUGGAGAGGUGAGUGGAAUUCCGAGUGUAGAGGUGAAAUUCGUAGAUAUUCGCAAGAACACCAGUGGCGAAGGCGGCUCACUGGCCCGAUACUGACGCUGAGGCACGAAAGCGUGGGGAGCAAACAGG
rnacentral:rRNA from 1 species